UUUCCGUAGGUGAACCUGCGGAAGGAUCAUUAAAAAUAAUCACAGUUUGUGAUUUUAAUAAUCAUCCUACCUUUGUGAAUUGUUUUGUAAAGAAAUUUAUGUUGUCUAUCCUGGUGGUUUGGAAAGUUGAAAAACUUUUUCAAAUCCCAGGGACUAGGCUUCAUAGACCUUUUUUAAAUUAAACUUUUUGUAUUCAUUGUCUAAAUUUAUUUUAUAAUUUAAAAAACUUUGACAAUGGAUCUCUUGGUUCUCGCAACGAUGAAGAACGCAGCAAAAGCGAUAAGUAAUGUGAAUUGCAGAAUACGUGAAUCAUCAAAUCUUCGAACGCAUAUUGCACUUUCUAGUUUACUAGAAAGUAUGUCUGUUGAGUAUCAGUAAAAAUUCUCAUAAAAAACAUUGUUUUUUAUGGUUAUGAGUGUUUUACAACGAUAAACAAGUUGUUUCACUUUAAAUGAUUUUUAAAAGCCAAUUGGUUUUAUCUAAUAAAAUUGGAUAAAAUUUCCGUAAAAAGGAAUAAACUUUUCAGUUUUAAAAGGUAAAACUUUAUUGACCUAAUAAAAGGAAAUUUAACAAAUAACUUGAUCUCAAAUCAGAUAAGAGUACCGCUGAACUUAAGCAUAUCAAUAAGCGGAGGAAAGAAACUAACAAGAUUCCUUAGUAACGGCGAUGAAGCGGAAGAGCUCAAAUUUGAAAUCUUCAAGUUCUACCUUGACGAAUUGUAGUUAUAGAAGUGUUUUCUGUUAGUAGAGUGGCAAAAGUUCUUUGAAUAGGACAUCAUAGAGGUGAGAAUCCGUAUUUGGUCAUUCUCUAGCUUGUGAUACACUUUCAACGAGUCGGAUUGUUUGGGAAUGCAGUCAAAAUGGGUGGUAAAUUCAUCUAAGCUAAAUAUUGGCGAGAGACCGAUAGCGAACAAGUACCGUGAGGGAAAGAUGAAAAGAACUUUGAAAAGAGAGUUAAACAGUACGUGAAAUUGUCAAAAGGAAGCGUUUGACACCAGUGUUUUUUUCCGAAAUCAUUACGAAUGUUUUGUUUUGAGGAGUUAUGUCUUCAUCGGCUUGCUCUUCUUUACGAAACUUUCUUAAUGCACUUUUCGGUUAACAAGUCAACAUCAAUUUCUUUUGUUGUAAAGGGUAUGAGGAAGGUGGCUUUCUUUCGGAGAAAGUGUUUAUAGCCUUGUGCCUCUGCAAUCGGAGAGAUUGAGGUCUGCAGCGUAGAUCCUUCGGGUUAGAUACGUUUGUGCUAAGUUAUAGCUUUCUAGACAACUGUUGACUAUGUUAGUCUUGUAGCUUACUCGCUGACGCUAUU
rnacentral:misc_RNA from 1 species